rnacentral:rRNA from 1 species
UACGGGGGGGCAAGCGUUGUUCGGAAUUACUGGGCGUAAAGGGCUCGUAGGCGGCCAACUAAGUCAGACGUGAAAUCCCUGGGCUCAACCCAGGAACUGCGUCCGAUACUGGUUGGCUUGAAUCCGGGAGAGGGACGUGGAAUUCCAGGUGUAGCGGUGAAAUGCGUAGAUAUCGGGAGGAACACCAGUGGCGAAGGCGGCUUCCUGGCCCCGUUCUUGACGCUGAGGCGCGAAAGCUAGGGGAGCAAACAGG